UAGCAGAGGUCCCAAGCGUUGUUCGGAUUCAUUGGGCGUAAAGGGUGCGUAGGCGGCGCGGUAAGUCGGGUGUGAAAUCUCGGAGCUUAACUCCGAAACUGGCAAUUCGAUACUGCCGUGCUUGAGGACUGGAGAGGAGACUGGAAUUUACGGUGUAGCGGUGAAAUGCGUAGAUAAUCGUAAGGAAGACCAGUGGCGAAGGCGGGUCUCUGGACAGUUCCUGACGCUGAGGCACGAAGGCCAGGGAGCAAACGGG
rnacentral:rRNA from 1 species